AACGCACGCUGGCGGCAUGCCUAACACAUGCAAGUCGAACGAGACCUUCGGGUCUAGUGGCGCACGGGUGCGUAACGCGUGGGAACCUGCCUUUAGGUUCGGAAUACCUCAGAGAAAUUUGAGCUCAUACCGGAUGAUGUCUUUGGACCAAAGGUUUAUCGCCUUUAGAUGGGCCCGCGUUGGAUUAGCUAGUUGGUGGGGUAAAGGCCUACCAAGGCGACGAUCCAUAGCUGGUCUGAGAGGAUGAUCAGCCACACUGGGACUGAGACACGGCCCAGACUCCUACGGGAGGCAGCAGUGGGGAAUAUUGGACAAUGGGCGAAAGCCUGAUCCAGCAAUGCCGCGUGAGUGAUGAAGGCCUUAGGGUUGUAAAUCUCUUUUACCCGAGAUGAUAAUGACAGUAUCGGGAGAAUAAGCUCCGGCUAACUCCGUG
rnacentral:rRNA from 1 species